AGAUGGCCUGGGCCGCAUCCGAGACCAACUCUCUGCCGUGGCCACUGGAGAGCAGAAGGCCCAUCUUUGAAAAGCUCCUGAGUGCAACUUAAUUACCACCAUGGCAGGAACACAUGGAGGGAAUCAGACAGGUGAUGCCAGCAGUUCCCGCUCCUCUGUCAGGGAAGCCAGGCAGAGCCCACAGAGCAUGGUCCAUCCAGAGUGUUCCCUGAGCCCCCUCCACCAUACUGGAACCCCUCUUCAGUGUAGAAAGUCUGAAAUGGGUGCUAAUUCCCUUCUUCAUGAAACCAGGGCCCUCUUCCUUCAUCUAAUGCAGCCACUCCUAGGUGAAUAAGUGGAAAUAAUUGGAAAUAAACAACAGUUCUAAAACUUC
rnacentral:sRNA from 1 species